GUGGGUGGAGCUUUACCCGCAAGUGGGCUGUACAAACUUCCAGAGGAUUUUGAUUGGUUUAUUUAUAUCACCUGUAGCAGCUAUUGGUUUAUGCUCCACAGUUGGUGGCGCUAUAAGUUUUAUUGUGAUCGAUCAGAAAACAAAGAAGAAAACCGCUUUCACAUGUCAGCGUGUCGUUGAAAUGAAGGGAUUAUGGAUUCUGAAGACCAUAAUAAUAAGGACAAUGCAGGACAAAGGCUGUCAAAUAACUGUGGAGUGUUUGUCUUGAUGGCAAUAUGCACUGUAUGUUAUUCUGGGACAGAAGUUUGACUUCACUGAACUAAACAUGAAGAACAUAGGAAAAUGGUGGUGUGCCAUCUUGCUUGAAAAUUAAACAUGGGAGAAAGAGAAAAUGAGCUGUUGUACCUG